AUGUUCUCUGCAGCUCUGAUGCUGCUGCUGGCAGCUGGAUCCUGUGUGUACAGUAUUGAUCUCAUCCAGCCAGACUCAAUGGUUGUGCAGCCUGGACAGUCUUUGACCAUCACCUGUCAGGUCUCUGGUUAUUCUCUGACUGAUAGCAGCUAUGCAACAGGAGUUCAGAGUGAGAUCAAACUGGACCAGUCUCCCUCUGAGGUGAAAAGACCUGGACAGACAGUGAAGAUGUCAUGUAUCAUAUCUGGUUAUAGCCUGACAAGAUACUAUAUUCACUGGAUAAGACAGAGACCAGGUAAAACUCUGGAGUGGAUUGGCAGGAUGAACACAGCUAGUUACUCUAUCUAUUACUGCCAGUCAGUCCAGGGUAGAUUCACCAUCUCCAGAGAUGACUCCAGCAGUAAGCUCUAUCUGCAGAUGAACAGUCUGAAGACUGAAGACACAGCAGUUUAUUACUGUAUUACCGACAGUAAUAAGAGAGUCAUAUAAAUAUCACCUCCUCUAUUUACCACCACCAUUUAUUACAAUGUUGACUUCAGUGCAUGCGGUUUUAUUUUCAAAUACAAAAAAUAUGACAUUAAAUAUACAUUUUAAGGACAUAAAUAGCAACAUGAUCCUCCUU